rnacentral:rRNA from 1 species
GGACUACUCGGGUAUCUAAUCCCGUUUGCUCCCCUGGCUUUCGCGCCUCAGCGUCAGAAGAGGUCCAGCGUGCCGCCUUCGCCACCGGAGUUCCUAUCGAUAUCAACGCAUUUCACCGCUCCACCGAUAGUUCCGCACGCCCCUACCUCCCUCGAGACAAUCAGUAUCCACGGCAGUUCUCCAGUUGAGCUGGAGGAUUUCACCACAGACUUGACCGCCCGCCUACGCGCCCUUUAAGCCCAGUGAUUCCGAACAACGUUCGCACGGUUCGUCUUACCGCGGCUGCUGGCAC